GAUGAAGAACGUAGCGAAAUGCGAUAAGUAGUGUGAAUUGCAGAAUUCAGUGAAUCAUCGAAUCUUUGAACGCACAUUGCGCCCCUUGGUAUUCCAUGGGGCAUGCCUGUUCGAGCGUCAUUUGUACCUUCAAGCUUUGCUUGGUGUUGGGUGUUUGUCCUGAGGGACUCGCCUUAAAGUAAUUGGCAGCCAGUGUUUGGUUUUGAAGCGCAGCACAAGUCGCGAUUCAAGGCUAUACAGCAGCUUCCACAAGCCUUUUUCACUUUUGACCUCGGAUCAGGUAGGGAUACCCGCUGAACUUAAGCAUAUCAAUAAGCGGAGGA
rnacentral:misc_RNA from 1 species